GACGAACGCUGGCGGCGUGCUUAACACAUGCAAGUCGAACGGAAAGGCCCUGCUUUUGUGGGGUGCUCGAGUGGCGAACGGGUGAGUAACACGUGAGUAACCUGCCCUUGACUUUGGGAUAACUUCAGGAAACUGGGGCUAAUACCGGAUAGGAGCUCCUGCUGCAUGGUGGGGGUUGGAAAGUUUCGGCGGUUGGGGAUGGACUCGCGGCUUAUCAGCUUGUUGGUGGGGUAGUGGCUUACCAAGGCUUUGACGGGUAGCCGGCCUGAGAGGGUGACCGGCCACAUCGGGACUGAGAUACGGCCCAGACUCCUACGGGAGGCAGCAGUGGGGAAUAUUGCACAAUGGGCGGAAGCCUGAUGCAGCAACGCCGCGUGCGGGAUGACGGCCUUCGGGUUGUAAACCGCUUUCGCCUGUGACGAAGCGUGAGUGACGGUAAUGGGUAAAGAAGCGCCGGCUAACUACGUG
rnacentral:rRNA from 1 species